CAGUGCUCCGGAGGCGCCGAAACAGCCAUGACUGAAGAAAGUCACAGUGGAAACACGCCUCCUCUGUUUUUCUUCGGAGACGAAGCAAAUCCGAGCACAAGCCACGAAUUCUUCGAGGGCGCUUCAUGCACGUCCGACUAUUGCGCUACGCCAUACACAUGCCACUGAAAGCGCAGUCACCAGUUGCCCAGCUAUGGUGUCCAGCAGCAGCAUCAAUCACGCACAGCCCAGUACAAGCCGCACUGGCAUGGAGGAAGCGUCGCUCAUUCCGAAAAACAUUGCUAGCUUUUCUCACGACGCCUGGCGUUACCAAUGGAACACCGAGCAGAGGCCAAUUACCGACGGGACGUAGGCCGUGGUCACUCGCCUUUACAACAAGCAUGGAAGAUAGCUCCAACAUGUUGCGUGGCAGAAGUGUACUUAUUGCGUAUAAAGAGACAAGUUACCAGCGGCGCCAACACUGUUUCCGCAUGAGCCAAUCCAUGAAUGUUUUUG